AAAACAUUGUAGCAUCUACUUUUGGGGAGCAGAAGCUCGAGUCGUUAUCUUCGGAGAAGAAAACGAGAUGGAGAAGAGAAAUAGAAUGGUUUUUAUCUGUAACCGAUCACAUUGUUGAAUUUGUCCCUUCAAAACAAAGGACAAAAGCUGGAAUAGACAUGGAGAUCAUGGUGACUUUACAAAGGAAUGAUUUGCUCAUGAACAUUCCAGCACUUAGAAAACUAGAUGCCAUGUUAAUUGGUUACCUGGAUCAAUUUGGUAAACUAGAUGAAUUUUGGUAUGUAUCAAGAGAUGAU